rnacentral:misc_RNA from 1 species
GGGAGCCCAGUGCAGGAAAUCUGCACGCUGGGUUCUGCUUGGUAGGCCCGAGCCCUGU